UCUUGGUCAAUUUAGAGGAAGUAAAAGUCGUAACAAGGUUUCCGUAGGUGAACCUGCGGAAGGAUCAUUAUUGAAUAAACUUGGUUGGGUUGUUGCUGGCUCCUCGGAGCAUGUGCACGCCUAGCACCAUUUUUACCACCUGUGCACCCWUUGUAGACCUGGAUACCUCUCGAGGAAACUCGGUUUGAGGAUUGCUGUGCGAAAGCCGGCUCUCCUUGCAUUUCCGGUCUAUGUCUUUACAUACCCCAUAAGAAUGUAACAGAAUGUUAUUAAUUGGCCUUUGUGCCUUUAAUCAAAUACAACUUUCAGCAACGGAUCUCUUGGCUCUCGCAUCGAUGAAGAACGCAGCGAAAUGCGAUAAGUAAUGUGAAUUGCAGAAUUCAGUGAAUCAUCGAAUCUUUGAACGCACCUUGCGCUCCCUGGUAUUCCGGGGAGCAUGCCUGUUUGAGUGUCAUUAAAUUCUCAACCUUUCCAGCUUUUACUAGCUUGGUUAGGCUUGGAUGUGGGGGUUGCGGGCUUCUCAGAAGUCGGCUCUCCUUAAAUGCAUUAGUGAAACCUUUGUUGACCGCCUCUGGUGUGAUAAUUAUCUACGCCGUUGAAAGUCUUCAUUUAUGAGGUUCUGCUUCUAACCGUCCCUUAGGGGACAACUCUUGACAUUUUGACCUCAAAUCAGGCAAGACUACCCGCUGAACUUAAGCAUAUCAAUAAGCGGAGGAAAAGAAACUAACAAGGAUUCCCCUAGUAACUGCGAGUGAAGCGGGAAAAGCUCAAAUUUAAAAUCUGGCGGUCUCUGGCCGUCCGAGUUGUAAUCUAGAGAAGCAUUAUCCGCGCUGGACCGUGUACAA
rnacentral:rRNA from 1 species